AGUGAGCGGCAAAAGCUCAAAUUUGAAAUCUGGUACCUUCGGUGCCCGAGUUGUAAUUUGAAGAUUGUACUCUGGAGUUGGCCCUUGUCUAUGUUCCUUGGAACAGGACGUCACAGAGGGUGAGAAUCCCGUGCGAUGGGGUGUCCAAUUCCAUGUAGAGUGCUAUCGAAGAGUCGAGUUGUUUGGGAAUGCAGCUCUAAGUGGGUGGUAAAUUCCAUCUAAAGCUAAAUAUUGGCGAGAGACCGAUAGCGAACAAGUACAGUGAUGGAAAGAUGAAAAGAACUUUGAAAAGAGAGUGAAAAAGUACGUGAAAUUGUUGAAAGGGAAGGUUAUUAGAUCAGACUUGGUGUUUGGCGAUAUUCAGUCUCUUGUAGGCUGUUCACUCGUCUUUCACUGGGCCAGCAUCGGUUUGGAUGGCAGGAUAAUGGCUGUUGAACGUGGCUCUUCGGAGUGUUAUAGCUUCAGCUGAUACUGCCUAUCUAGACCGAGGACUGCGGCUUUCGAGCCUAGGAUGCUGGCGUAAUGAUCUAAUAUCGCCCGUC
rnacentral:rRNA from 1 species